UUCCACUGUUUGUGUGAACUUAUUUGGGAGAGUUUUUGAAUUAUGAUUUGUUGAAUGAUGAUAGUUCCGCUACAUAAAAAUUUAUUGUCAUUAUAAUAAAUUUAACCUUACUUACAGUUCAAAUCAAUUAUCCACCGAGUUUUUACGAUAACGGCAUUUUCUAACAUUCCCAGGCUUUAGAUAUAUUUUUCCUCUACAUUCUUUGCAUGUAUUGUAAUGCCACUCUGUUAUGUGCAAGACUUUUUUGAUUUUGGUAGUGUAUUGCAAAACCUGUUUCACCAUAAAUUAGAAUAGAUACAUUUACAUUUAAAAUAAUUUCUUAAUGUUUUUUUUAAGUAACAAUAUUUUUAUCAAACCUUUGGUUUCUCUUCUUUGACUAUUGCUCUUAGCUCCACUAUUGUCUUUUGGAUAUUGAUAUUUUCAUCUGCAGGAACAUCAACCAUCCUUUCUUGGAUUUCCUGUACUCUUGCAUCUUGUUGGUUGAUCAAUAACCUUGUUCGAAAUGAACUUUGUUCAAGCAUUCUGUGCAUCCAAUUAAAUUUAAGAAUUAAUAUUUCAUAUAAUCGUAACAUUAUUUAUAUUAUAAAUUUAAAGAUUACCAUUCCAAUUGUUAGUCAUCAGUGAUGUGAGUUUAAUGAAAACUGGUUGUCCUUGUUUUUUAAGAGUGAGCCCUUCUUUGAUAUCAUCGCAUAAAGUUCCCCAUAGUCGGACUUCCAGUUCUUCGUUUCUGUCAAAAAAGAAAUAUAAUAUCACAAUUAUUAAGAUGAUCAUGAUGCAUUCUAGGGUUUAAAAACCCCUAAUUUAUGCUAAGUUACUAUUAUAUGUUUUUAGAAUUAUUGGGGAUAUUUAGGUUUAUGUUUAAUUGGUGUUUUUAGGUGUUUUAGGGUAUUUCUAUUUUAGGGUUAUUUUAAUUUCGAAUUAUGUUUUCUAUUUUCAUUAGAAUUGGUCUAGGUUUAGGUUUCCUUGCUUUCCAAGGAUUGUUUUUCCUAUUUAAAGAAGUUGUAGGCCUUUGGCCAAGUUAGGUGUUGAUUGGUUAAUUGAAUUGUGUGUUUUGAGAAGAGUCUUCUCUUUGUGUGAGUUCUUGGUUAAGAACAUUGGUUGUCGAAUCCCGAAAAUCGUCGUAGUUCUUUGAAUUCGGUUCAAAGUACAUAUCUUUAUGCACGACUGCAUCAAAUUGGUAAUCAGAGCAAGGUUUUGAGGCUUCUAAGUUCUCAAAAAUCCUGAAUUUUUUGUCAUCUUCUUCGUCGUUUCAAGCGCCCUCGUUGUCACCGCUCUUUUCAAAGUCUUCCGCUGCUUUGUUUGAGGUAUUUAAAAAAAAAAAAAAAAAAAAUCGAGUUACUGUUCAUUGUUUAUUGGUCAUCGCAGAAAAAAAUUCAAUUUUUUUUUCCUUGGUCAUAUUCGUUGGUAUUAGUUUAAUUUAAAUGGAGAAUUGGUAUAAGGAUUGGAUUCAAGAUCAUGCUUUUCGUUCUUUGUGUACUAUUGGAGGCAAGUUGUGUUCUUUUGUGAUUGACCCUAAAAAUAAUGGUAAUUUUGUUUCAAAACUAGCGGUCGAGAAAUUAUAAUUGGAAGUGGUUGAAAACAAUUGUUUGGUUGAUUUUUCCAUUGGAGAUAUUGUUGAUCGGGUGUGGUGUAAUAUAGUCGACACGGAUGCUUGUCAUCUUUUGUAGGAAAAUCCAUGGACAUUAGAAACAGAUGCUAGAUUUAAUGUGGAAUAUAAUGGUUAUAGUAUUAUGUGGAAAGGCAAGAAAUUUGUUCUUCUUUCAACUAGGCCUUGCAUAUCACAAGAAGAAUUUGAAGCUACAUGUCAUGCGCACCAGGUUUACAAAGAAUCCAUAGAAGAGUUUACAAAACAAGGAUGUCGAUAUUUAAGUGAUGUUUUUGAUGUCUUUGCCGAAAAAGAGGAGGUUACAAGAACCAAGUUCCAUAGUACAAAAACAUUCGAAUUGAAUGAAUUUUUCCCGCUCUUUGAGGAAGAAUCUCUAGAUGUUGUUGAAGAUGUGUUUUUUACAGAAUUUGGUGUAUGUGUUGAUCCGAUUUGGGAAACUUUUGUAGCCAAUUUCAGCAACAUGUUCCUUCUUUUCAUGGAAAACAAUUGGGGAUUUUGUGUUUCAAGUAUCAUUGUUUUGUGAAGUUCCUAAAAUUUGAUCUUUAUGCAAGUAAGGUUCGUGGAAUAAUUCAACUUUUUGGGCUAUUGCUUCUUAUGAGAGUGAGCAGAUUUUUGGGAAAAAUUCGAGGUAGACUCAUUGAUUUACAUAGGCCAAGUUUGAGCUUGCAGCACCAACGUGCAACUACUACUUGUUUUGGUGAAUUUGAAAGAAUCAAGUUCGUGGACGAACUUUUUCGAACCCGGGGAGAGCUGAUGCAUUCUAGGGUUUAAAAACCCCUAAUUUGUGCUAAGUUACUACUAUAUGUUUUUAGAAUUAUUGGGGAUAUUUAGGUUUAUGUUUAAUUGGUGUUUUUAGGUGUUUUAGGGUAUUUCUAUUUUAGGGUUAUUUUAAUUUCGAAUUAUGUUUUCUAUUUUCAUUAGAAUUGGUCUAGGUUUAGGUUUCCUUGCUUUCCAAGGAUUGUUUUUCCUAUUUAAAGAGUUGUAGGCCUUUGGCCAAGUUAGGUGUUGAUUGGUUAAUUGAAUUGUGUGUUUUGAGAAGAGUCUUCUCUUUGUGUGAGUUCUUGGUUAAGAACAUUGGUUGUCGAAUCCCGAAACUCGUCGUAGUUCUUUGAAUUCGGUUCAAAGUACAUAUCUUUAUGCACGACUGCAUCAAAUCAGAAAUUAACAUAGAGCACUUAUAAGAAAGAUUAUAGUAGGGAAACACAAUAAUACUGAAUGAUCUAUUGAUACAGGUGUAUGCAUUUGUGCAUAGUUUGCAAUGGAUUGUUUCAUUGGUAAAAUUAAAUGUUAUUUAGUUUGGACAAUAUAUAGACAUAAUCUUUUAUUAAUUAAAAGAUAAAAGAAAUAUUCAUAAUUGAACUUCCAAUUUAUGAAUGUUUUGAAGCUCAGUUUGAACAAUACAUGCAAACCUAAACUUCAGACACGGGACAUCACUAUUACAACAUAGCGAUUUUUGGUGUUUAGAUUGUCUAGACAUACAAUUGUAUCAUUAAUGAAAUUUCAUGCCUUAAGUGUAGGAUAUAUAUAAGUUAUGUCAGGUGAUAUGUUAUCUGUUUAAUUCUAUUAUCUGUUAUGGGAAUAAUCGAACAGAUAGGAAGACAUUAGUGAUAUGUUGCCAUAACUAACAAAUCCAUUACAGUAAUGCUACUGCUUCGGCUAUGUUUUAUUGACACAUUUCUAUGAUAAUAAGUACUAAGAUUGGGAUCUGAAAUAAGUUUGAUACAUUAUACUGUAUGGUGCAUUCGUACACGGUUUUAGUCUUGGUUAAGUGCUUUAUUGUAAACUGUGUACUGGUGAGCUAGGAUUCUUCAAGUCUGAUUGUGGGUUGUAUUCCUAUGUCUGUGUGGUAAUGUGCAGUAGGCAGUAGCAUGUACAUGGCUGUUAUGAACUGUAAGUUAACAUAUGUGUAGGGGUACUACAUACUCCAUCCAAUCAAAAGCAGCCACGUGGCACAGUCAUUCAACCAUCAGGUCGCCAUGAUCCCUACCUGCUAGUAGCUCGACAUCAACGACCCGACCACGCAACCAGCAGCGACCUGCUUAUACACACGUGCUCUCAUUCAAUGCACAGAAUAUCCUCGUCAGUUACAUAAUUAAUUCACAGGGGUGAUCCGCGCUCGUUACAUAAUCAAUCCUCAUUAUGAUGACGGAGAAUCUGCAAGAUCCACGAUCCACGCCUUUCUACCUUCUAUAAGAACAGAAUUACGAUGGCUUGAUCUCCAAGUUCAAUCCCCUCGAGCUAAGAGUACGUAGGCAAUCUCAAUCUCAACGAGGUGCAGCCACUCCAAUCCAAAACUUCCCCUUUGGUCAAGUCUCCCAACGACCUGAUCUAGUAGUGCAUUAAUCUAGAAAUAGGUUAAUACAUUUGGCGCCGACUACAGGGACUUGGGAUUUUCUCAAGCGAAUUCCACCCACCAACCCCACCGAACACCAUUGUUCUAAGGUUCUCAGAUGGUGAUUUUCAAGAAAUUCAUUGAAUUUGAAAAGAUAGAAUUGCAACUCACAGUUGGGGGCUUGGAGCAAAUUGUUUACACAAUUACUGGACUCGACAGAAGCAAGAUAAGUAUCACUUUAAUAUUUUUUGGUGAUUGAAAUGAGGCACCGAGCUAUCAAGGAGCGACCUCAUCAUCUACUGUUUAUUCUACACAGUUUCACAUAUAUUUAUCUGGUGAUAUAUUUUCAUGUCUCUCAUCGUGACCUCGACAGGUCUACCAACGACCUCUCAGGUCUCGUCGCGACCUCACCAGGUCCUUCAUACCAGGUCCUUCAUCGCGACCUCACCAGGUCUAUCAACGACCUCCUCAAAUUACAGGUCUUUCAACGACCUCAAGAAUAUUUAUGCCAUACAAGGGGCUAUUCUCACUUUAUCUAAUGAAAUUAACUUAUUAUUAGCACAAUUAGCUAUUAAUGAUAUUUUUUGUUGCUCUCUCUAUCUGCAGGUCACAUGAACACGGCCUCACUCCCCAUGAGCUAUUUUUGCACAAAUGUGCCACAUUGCUUUCACUGAACUCUUUACAAAUGAAAUGCUUGAUAUACAAUACGGCCACCCUCAUUGACUAGUGAGUCACUCGUAUGCGGGACGACCUCAAACACAAUUCUCUAGCCACACGUCUGGUCGAACGCAUUCACUCUCAACGCAAUGCAGACCCACAAAGGCCACAUGCCCGAGAAUUGUCAUACAGGUCUCCACGCUGCGACCAUUCACUAGAUCGGGCACCAAAAGGUUCCAAGUAACUCUCAAAACACUUGGUCAACCAAUGCUCUUUCUCAAACGAGCUACAUGUGCACUCCAAAGUGCCACAUCUAUCGGAAUAUCCAAUCAAAAGACGACAAAGAUAGUAGAUACAAAACUCAUAAGGAAGACAUACAGUUCAGUGUAAGUCUCUUACUAAAUUUUAUAAUAUUUUACAUGCUAACAUUAUCAACAAGUAUCAGGUCUAUGCAACUCGACCACAAAAAGACAACCACCCAUGUAUGCAAGAAGACCCACUUCAGUACGACCUGCUUGCAGCUAUUCAUCUCGUCUACCUGCCUUCUGAACGAGCUACCAGGACUCCCUGGAAACUAGCUGAUCAGAACGGCUUAAUCAUAAGCUCAUCAGAUAAACUAUCAAUUACAGCUGUUCAUUACAAGUCCAAACAAAACAAAUGAUUGUUUACUCGAGCUCACAAACUCAGAAGACUGCUUUGAGGAAGGCCAAAGAAGACUCACUGCAAGAACAAGGAGUGCAAGAAGCAAACUUGGCACAAGGUUACCCAAUACAAGAAGGUCGGUACCAGGACUAGCUCACUGCUGCACAGACUGAUCGCCGGAACCAUCAAUCUCCGUACGGCCACUGCGACCUAGUCAUUAGGGCUCGUCAAGGUGUCCUGAGCUGGCACCAAAGUUCCAUCGGCACCACCUCGUGUCUCCUCUCCUUCGGACGACCCCAUCAUAGCUUUCAUCAAGUUGUCGCAGUAGGCCUUCCACGCUGCACCAUUCUCCUGGCAUGCGUGCUCCCAGUGUUCAGCAGAAGCCUUAGCGUGCUCAGUAGAAGCCUUAGCAGCAGCAGAAUCUUCCUUUAACUGCUCCACCAUCUCCUUCAACGCCGCAACUUGCGCAUCCCUGUCCCUCACCUUGCACUCAGCAACAACAGCAACAUUCUUCGCCUGCUCGAGCUUCUCAUUGAGGUCCUUCAACUCAAUCUCAGCUCGAGCACCAACCUCAGCAACCAGACGCACCUCCUGGAAGCUUGCGUUGAGCUGCAAGUGCAAACAGAGUUUAGUCAGCAAUGACUAAACACAACCAAAAUAGACUCAUGAUCACACUCACCAAAGACAGCGCCGCAUUUAUCUUUGAGCAGGUCACCAACAAAGUCUGCGACUUCACUGCUCGAGCAUCAGCAUCCAAGACGAUGCCCUCAUUCACAGCCCGAGCAACGCAGGGGUCGUCAAUAGCACUGUCGUUAUCAUACACGACAUGCUUCUCACCGCGGCCAUCCAAAUAAUCGAACGGCCCAGGGCGAAACUCAGACGAUACCCCUUCACCUUUCUGCAAAGGCCCAGCAGCAGUCUUCCUGGACUUAAGAGGAGUCUCAGGGGAUUUCACGAACUUUGGAGGGGCAGAAGACGGCAUAGUUGGAGGCUCCAUCAACUUCAGGUUCCCUGCAAAUGACCUCUUCUUCCCAGACAAGGCAGGUAAUUUGGGAAGUGAAGGCGGAGGGGAUACGACUGGGGGGGCUCGCCACUACCUCCCCCCGGCGCGAGCUAACACCAGAUCGUUCCGACCUUCGAGCUGUGUUUCCAGAUCGCUCUCUCUCCUCAAGCCUCGAGCUACCACUAGCUCGUUCCUUCUCCCCAGCACGGGAACUACCACCAGAACGCCCAGCCUCAGCUUUAUGUACAGAACUCAUAUAGGCCUUCUUCAGCGACUUCCUCCUCUCGAGCUCGUCUUCAACGGUUUUUGGACCACCUUUGGGAAUAAAAUGCUCCUUCAGGUGGGGUAAGAACUGUAUCUUACGGUUGUCACUCAAGAAACCAAAACCGUUCAAAGCGGACUGCAGAUCGUUCUUCCUCAAAAGAUGAUCGUCCCUGAUCGCUACAAAAAGAUACAAAAUCAUCAAGUCCGGAAACAGGAAAACCAUCUACAAUGUUCAGACUAAUAACCAGAAACUCACGAUCAUCAUUCCUAGUCACAUGACGCAACUGGAUACUCCCCUCAAUGAUCGACCCAGUAAUCAGCAUGGGAUCUUUCCACCAUGGCUCACUACUUACCGGAUAGAUCAAAGGCAAACGUUCUGGCCUAACUUGCAUGUUAUAGCCGGAAAAAUCAGCCUUUGAAGAACGUUUGAAGCUGAAGUGGUCCAACACAUCAUUUACAGUGAUGCACCACUUAUGCAACUUGUUGAGGUCAUCAAUUACCCUCACGUUUCUCCAGAAAUUGCCAUUCAUCUGGCAAGGAGCUCGACCAAUAGCAUUCAGCAGGUCGACCACCAAACAAGACAAUGGCAGCCUCAGCCCAGCUCGGAAUUGGGUCAAGGUAAAAACAGUGGAGAAAGGAUUUUUAGGUCGAUAAUCACAAGAAAGUAAACGUUCUCCUAAAAAUCUAAUCUCCAAAUGCUCAAUCGAGCCAAACCCAUAUUGCUUCCUAAAUGCAAUAUGCCUAUUUACAUACUUCAGGUUCACUACUCUACACAUUGAACCGUCGUCUCCUUCCACCAUCUCUUCGUCAGACGAGUCCGACCUAUGCGAGCCGCUACUCUGGGGGCUAUCAGAGCCCACACCAUUAAUAGGAGACAAGGUUUCAGAUUGAGUCCUUUCAGACUCAUACUCCUCACCACCACCACCACUCAAGUUAUCAUUUUGAGAGUCACUCGCGUCAGACAUUUCUCUCAAGCAACGGAAAAGAAAACAGAAGAUGAAAGAAAAGAAGGACAAGAAAACUAACCUCACGAGCUCUCAAAGUUCUUCAGAUCGCAAGAGAAAAGCGGCAGCAAUUCAAAUGAAGGCGAGAUAGGUAAACCCUUCUCAAGAGAACUGCAGUUUAAAUACUGUAGCACAUGUAAUCCCAGCCAUCAGUUCGAAACAGGUAAACGGCCGAGAUCGAUCAAGGAUGCAACACUCCUUGCAGUUAUUUUCCACUUUAUAAACGAUUCACAUCCACCGUCGGAUCAACCCACGUGCCGCGCAGAGACCUAAUCAAGCAAAGAGUGCGUCAGUUGCCAUAACUACACAGCUAACUGCUCGAGAAAACCUCUCCACUUCCCCGUAAGAGCGCCAUGAUUAGUACAGACAAGCCUGCAUGACUGCCACGUCCGCAAAUUCAAAAAGCAAACUACAAAUCAGCAUCGAUCAGAGUUCUUAGUCUUUUCAGCCCGACUUAUACAGCCGACCUAAAAAGAGGGGGCUUAUGUAGGGGUACUACAUACUCCAUCCAAUCAAAAGUAGCCACGUGGCACAGUCAUUCAACCAUCAGGUCGCCAUGAUCCCUACCUGCUAGUAGCUCGACAUCAACGACCCGACCACGCAACCAGCAGCGACCUGCUUAUACACACGUGCUCUCAUUCAAUGCACAGAAUAUCCUCGUCAGUUACAUAAUUAAUUCACAGGGGUGAUCCGCGCUCGUUACAUAAUCAAUCCUCAUUAUGAUGACGGAGAAUCUGCAAGAUCCACGAUCCACGCCUUUCUACCUUCUAUAAGAACAAAACUACGAUGGCUUGAUCUCCAAGUUCAAUCCCCUCGAGCUAAGAGUACGUAGGCAAUCUCAAUCUCAACGAGGUGCAGCCACUCCAAUCCAAAACUUCCCCUUUGGUCAAGUCUUCCAACGACCUGAUCUAGUAGUGCAUUAAUCUAGAAAUAGGUUAAUAUAAUAUGAUUAAUGAAAAAUUUAUACUUUAAUUUCCCCUCCUCUCUAUGUUAACUGUAAGUUAACAUAUGUGUCAUUAAUUAACAAUAAUAUUGUACUGUGGUAGCAAAAUCCUAAUGUUAUGGAUGACCAUUAAUUUAGAUAAUAAGAACUUAUUGAAGAUGCAAUUUAGAGGCUAUCAGCAGUUGGUACAGACUAUUAUACAAAAAGUCAAGUUGAGAUUUGCGAGGAUUAAAAUGAAGCUGAUCAACAACACCUCUAACAUAGUGGCUGCUUCCAGUGAUCCAGCUGGAAUCCAAUUUACAGAGUCAAGUGUAAAGACUUGCAAAUAGGAGGCUCCACCUAUGAACCAAGUGGGACUCAACUCAGAUGGCAGACUUUGUAAUGGAGGAGGUGUGCAUGUGCUGGACUAUUCAGAAACCACAGAGGAGAUGUACACUAUUUUUAUACUAAGGGCUCUAAAGGGAUAACUAUUGACUAUGCGGAAAUAGAGGCAAUUCUGACAGGGAUGAAGCUAGAUUAAGCAAUGAACUACAGAAGACUGAUAGUAGAUACAGACUCCAAGGAAGCAGCUGAAUGUGUGUAUUAAUGGACAAACCGUUUACAUGGAGAAUCAAGCAGAUGGUAGACGUAAUAUAAUCAAAAGCAUCAUUCCAUAAAUGCUAGGAUGAUGUGAACCAGAUGCUAAGAACUACUGAGAGUCUAGUAGAAUCUAAUUAUUUGGUCUGUGGAAAUUGAUAAUUAAUAGUAGAAUGUAGUUAAUGGACUAUUAAUAGUAGAAUCUAGAUACCCAAAUUUUAGUUAUGAGAUUUAAUAAAAAAAAGAUUUUUUUUUUUUUUUGGUGGAAGAUGAGAAGUAAAUAAUAACAGAUGAUUGAUGAACUAUGAUUGAAUGUAAAUCAAAUAAACUUAAUUUAAAUAUAUAUAAAUCAAACAAACAAAAAUUUGGAUAGUAGUUUUACCUGAAUCAUAGAUGGAAGGUGAUGGAAUUGUUAAAAAUUACAUACCUAUUGAAGCUGAAGAUUGAAGCUGAACAAAGAGACGAUUUGGUGAAGUUAUAGUUAUGGACUAUAUUGGAUUUCUAUUCUAAAUUAUAGUGGUGUUGAUUGAAG
rnacentral:lncRNA from 1 species